CGGCAACAGCUCAAAUUUGAAAUCUGGCACCCGCCCGAGUUGUAAUUUGCAGAGGAGGCUUUGGAGUCGCCCCGGUCCAAGUUCCUUGGAACAGGACGUCGCAGAGGGUGAGAAUCCCGU
rnacentral:rRNA from 1 species